GAUGCAGCGACGCCGCGUGGGGGAUGACGGCCUUCGGGUUGUAAACUCCUUUCAGCCAUGACGAAGCCCUUGUGGUGACGGUAGUGGUAGAAGAAGCACCGGCUAACUACGUGCCAGCAGCCGCGGUAAUACGUAGGGUGCGAGCKUUGUCCGGAAUUACUGGGCGUAAAGAGCUCGUAGGUGGUCUGUCGCGUCAUUUGUGAAAGCCCGGGGCUUAACUCCGGGUUGGCAGGUGAUACGGGCAUGACUGGAGUACUGUAGGGGAGACUGGAAUUCCUGGUGUAGCGGUGAAAUGCGCAGAUAUCAGGAGGAACACCGGUGGCGAAGGCGGGUCUCUGGGCAGUAACUGACGCUGAGGAGCGAAAGCAUGGGUAGCGAACAGGAUUAGAUACCCUGGUAGUCCAUGCCGUAAACGGUGGGCGCUAGGUGUGGGUUUCCUUCCACGGGAUCCGUGCCGUAGCUAACGCAUUAAGCGCCCCGCCUGGGGAGUACGGCCGCAAGGCUAA
rnacentral:rRNA from 1 species